GCUAGUAAUGGCAGGUCAGCAUACUGCCGUGAAUACGUUCCCGGGCCUUGUACACACCGCCCGUCACACCAUGAGAGUUGGAAAUACCCGAAGCCUGUGAGCUAACAAACGAGGCAGCAGUCGAAGGUAGAGCCAAUGAUUGGGGUGAAGUCGUAACAAGGUACC
rnacentral:rRNA from 1 species